AAAGGCGGCUGCGCUUGUCUGUGAUAACCUUGUGCCGAUCGCACGUCCCCGUAACGGUGACAACGCAUUCUGAUGUCUGCCCUAUCAACUUUCUAUGCUAUUUUCCGCGCCUACCAUUAUGACCACGGGUAACGGGGAAUCAGGGUUCAAUUCCAGAGAGGGAGCCUGAGAAACGGCUACUACAUGCAAAAAAAAGGCAGCAGGCAUGCAAAUUACCCACUCCUGACGCGGGGAGGUAGU